GAUGAACGCUAGCUACAGGCUUAACACAUGCAAGUCGAGGGGCAGCAUGAACUUAGCUUGCUAAGUUUGAUGGCGACCGGCGCACGGGUGAGUAACACGUAUCCAACCUGCCGAUGACUCGGGGAUAGCCUUUCGAAAGAAAGAUUAAUACCCGAUGGCAUAGUUCUUCCGCAUGGUAGAACUAUUAAAGAAUUUCGGUCAUCGAUGGGGAUGCGUUCCAUUAGGUUGUUGGCGGGGUAACGGCCCACCAAGCCUUCGAUGGAUAGGGGUUCUGAGAGGAAGGUCCCCCACAUUGGAACUGAGACACGGUCCAAACUCCUACGGGAGGCAGCAGUGAGGAAUAUUGGUCAAGGGACGAGAGUCUGAACCAGCCAAGUAGCGUGAAGGAUGACUGCCCUAGGGGUUGUAAACUUCUUUUAUACGGGAAUAAAGUGAGGCACGUGUGCCUUUUUGUAUGUACCGAAUGAAUAAGGAUCGGCUAACUCCGUG
rnacentral:rRNA from 1 species